rnacentral:tRNA from 1 species
GAGGGGAUGGCGCAGUGGUGAAGCGCCCGAAAAACUCUGCUGCCAGCGGAGCUUGAAGGUUCGAGUCCUUCUCUCCUCA